UAUUACUAACUCACACGUGACAUAAAUUGGGAGUAUAUCCGUAUAAGGGAUAAAGUAAGCAAGAAAAUGUUGUGGAAGAUGAAUUUGGCUUCUUCACCACCAUUCCAAUUCCAACCCAAUGCAACAAGAUUAUCAAGAGUGAAGAGCAGAGCAUCCCCAAAAUUAAAGAUUUUGAGCGCCCAGAAAAGGUGUUUGAGGUGCAACACCUUUUAUGAUGACUCCCACAACUCCCCUUCUGCUUGCUCUUUCCAUGGCCACGCCACUGGUAUUAUCUAUCCACCCCUUCUUCUUCUUCUUCUAAAAAAUAAGGAGUUUACACAAGGAAUUUGGUGCGAUAAUCCCUAGUUUUCCAUGGCAGCAGGGAAUUUGGUGAGAUAAUCUCGCGUGCUGUUCAACUAACAUUUCGACAACCUAUGGAACAAAGCCUGCUUUUGGGCAAGUAAACUAACUAUAUAAUUAUGGACUCAAUUCAUAUACAGCUAUUAUUUCAGUUGGAGCACUGAUUCCCUGUUAUGAUAGUUAAGCUGGACUAUAUUGAAAAGUGAAAAUGAUGGUAUAUCUAUUAACUAUACCAUGAGUGAGGUUUUUUGACCAUUGUUCUGUCCCAAAAAAGGUUUUGAUGGAAUGAUAUACUCCAGUAGAGAGUGGGCUUACAUGGGAGGGUUGUGCGUUGUAAUUACUCCCUUCAUUUUGGUAGCUCUUGUAAUAGCUUACUGUUGAAACUGGUGUUGUAACAUAUGCUACUCUCAUGAUUUGUGUAUCAUAUGUUUAAUUGUUGAAUGAAGCAGCAGGUCUCUUUAUUGCUUAUUUUAAUUACUAGUAGAACUUAUUAAACGCUUCCCUAUUAGGCUAUUACCUACCUAUAUCUGAUUUUGUAAAGGUGAAUGGCUACUGUCAUGAAGUAAUUAACAAACUAGUCUCAUAAAAGAAUAGUCAUGAAAAAACAAAUCAAAAUACAAGUAAAUAUAUAUAAACUAACAAUAUCAUAUCAUGAAUCUUUCUAGUAAUAAAAAAGAAUAUCAUAUCAUAUCCCUCCAACACACAAUAAUUUUAUUUAAUACUAGUAAAAAUAAUAAAAUCAAUUGUUGAGUAGCACCACGAGGGACACCACCAAGGAAGAAGCGCCGGCGGCGGCGGAGAACGGCAGAGAGGUACCAGCACCGGCGUCAGGCGACGGCGCAGGGGGGUCCACCUGCGCAAACGCAGCGGAGAGAGCAGACAUGAGCGCCACAAACAUCAACAUCAACAUCACCAUAGCCUUAGAAACUGCCAUUCUUUUCUCAAUAUAUAUACCAACUAUAACUCUCUUCUUGUUUAACUUCAAAUUCUCGACACU